GAAGGGAAUGACGAAUACAUGAAGCGAACCACGUUUAAUUAUAGGUUGAGCCGUGUCAGGAGGCUUAUAGAAAACUCUUUUGGGAUCCUGGCAAGCAGGUGGCGCAUCUUGAGAAGAUCAUUCAAGACGUCGGAGGACACAACGCAUUGCAUCGUCAAAGCGUGCGUGGCGCUGCACAAUUUUAUGUUAAAGGACUCUGCCCUUUCAGCCUCAACAUACAACCCUCCAGGGUAUGUCGACAGCGAAGACUGGGAGGGGAUUACAUCAGAUGGUGCAUGGCGAGCUGACGACAGUGGCCUAUCUGGACUGGGAGAACUACGUGGACAGGGAUACCACUCUGCUCUAGAUGCAGUGGACAUGCGGGACAGGCUGGCAUCGUACUUUUUGAGUGAUGGAAAAGUACCAUGGCAAGAAAGUAUCGUAACUCGUGCAGGAAAGAAGCUACAGUGACAAUUUCUACUACCGAGAAGGCGGGACCGCACCAGCUGGUCUCUUGAUAGACCUGCAGGAAGAGUUAGAAAAUGCAGAUGUGGACGCACAGAUAUGUGAAGACAGUUACCCUUGAGAAGAUGCAGAUCUGUUCACAGAAACUUCUGGUCUGGAGCCUGCUUCAUAUGUUGAUGGACUGGAAAAUCUGCAUGAGAAAUAACCGUCCCCUUUCAGUUAUGCACAAACGUGGCGCAAAUAAAAUUGCGCCAAGUUUGAACACCCGGCCCAGAAUGCAUAAGCCUUCAAUGUGAUUGACCUUGUUGCACUCAUAAAGUGGCCUACUUAGCAAAUUACGCAACCAUAAAGUUUAAUGUCUUGCACUUACGGUGCAUCCUCUUCUUCAGGUGCCACAUGAAGCGGAAUAUCAGGACACCUGCGUUAAAUGGAACGAUGCUUACAGUUAGCUAUGAUGUGUUAGUAGCUAAGAAAGAUGCCGUUAUCACAGUAUUAUAAAAGUAUACUCACAUUUCCUGGAAAGCGUCUGCUUCAGGGGUCAAGGUAUCGCUGCGCAAUUUUUUGUUUUGGUGACCAUUUUUUUUGCAUAUACGAAAGCAACAAAUAUGUACCUAUUCAUUUGUCCAAGGCCUGAGUAUCCAGCGCUAGAUGUUGACGAUUCUUGAGAGAGCCUGCAGAGCCAGCAACCAUUGGCCUUGUUUUAUAAAAGCGUUAUACAUUGAAGCAAAGCUGGGAAAGACUCCAGUG